rnacentral:tRNA from 1 species
GUCGGGAUAGCUCAGUCGGUAGAGCAGAGGACUGA